GCCUGCCUAGCUAAGUUGGUUGAACGCAAGGCUCUUAAUCUUGUGGUCAUGGGUUCGAUCCCCAUGGCGGACG